CUGCCUCUCAGCCUCCUCUUGCUCUCAGUUAGUACCUCGUAAAGCCAGGGAAGAUAAAUCUCUCCCCUGGCUUCUGCGGCCCUGACUGGGAGCAGGGUGAGCACGGGCGAUGGCAGGCACUGGCCCCUGGUUCCUCCGGCCUCCUGGGGCCCUGAGCUGGCACAGUGCAACCCAGGCAGCCCUGUGAGCCUCCUCUGCUAUUAAACCCAUAAUUCAGGGGAGACUGACAGAGUGAGGCGCACUCGGUCCCCGUGAUGAGGAAAGAGCCGCCCAUCCAAGAACUGCGAGAGAGGCUGAGGUGAGGGCUGACGCCGGUCACACGCAGGUCUCGGUUUUCAGGGGCUGCAUUUAGAUCUGGAGCCCAGGCCCUUCUCCCAAGGAAUCUUGGAGCCCGGCUGCUCACAAGGAGACCGUGGAGGAUUCUGCAAGGGCCAAAGCAGCCAAGAAACGAGCAAGGCAAGCAAGGAACAGGAGAUGCCUGCGGGAAAUGCUGAGCCUGUCUGCAUGCUCUCAACCAUACCCGGGAUGCAGGGCGUGAAUGCUGCUCCACACUCUGUGCAGCCAGAGAGGCCGCGGACCUUGGAGACCACUUGGGUGUGGUACUUGCAGCCUGAACCUCCAGAACGACACUUGUCCCCAUGAAAACCGAUGACUUGGACAACCUGACGUCUUGGAGGUCCAGACUCCACUGCUAACAGAGUGGAAGACCCAAACGUCAGCAUCGAAAUUCAUGUAGACCCCAAACUCCCUGAGGGGCUGCAGAGUGGGUCAGAAGCAAGAAUAGAGCUUCGUGACAAAGGGGUCCAGGAAGUCCUUGGGAGAAGAGACUUCUGGAACACACCAGGAGGACCUCCCACCGCCAGGUCUUGUUCUGGCUCACCACUUCCCCAGAACCAACGGAGUUAAAGCAGUGGUGGACCGAAACUUUUGAAACCGCGAGUCAAAAUAAACCUUUCCCCUCUUGAGCUGUUUUCCUCAGGUAUUGUGUCACCCUGAAGGACAGCUGACUGACCCACUUGGCAAAGCAAAUGACCAACCACCCGAGCCCCGGUCUUUGGCGCUCCCGUUUGCACUCAUCGUUCAAAGAUCAGGUCCCAUCCCCUCUCCGGGGGUCGGAGGUUUUGUCUCCUUCCUGUGAGGGCCGUCAAGUCAGACCGGAGGCUGCCCUGGGCUCGGGAGGGAGGUGCUGCCCCACCCAGUUCUGUGACGCGUCCCCUCGCAUCCCACAUGCCUCGUGUCCUGAACACCUUUCCCAGGACAGAUGUGCCCCCACCCCAGUCAGGAAUCUCUCCAUGAGUGUUCUGGGGGCCCCAGCCCCUGGGUCCCUGACCCCACUCUAUCUUGUUCCCACACAGGAAAUGUCCACUUUCUUGCUUUUUGGGCCUGCGUUGUCUGCAGGUAGCCAUGUCGGGGGCUUGGCCUCGGGAGGGGCAGUCUCCAGGCUGCUGAGAAAAGUGUGUGCAGGAAGGAAGGGAGGGAGGAAAGUUGGGAGGGAGGGAAGAGGGGGAUAAAGGGAAAAAGAGCGGGAGACCCAAAGCCUCCAGUGGACCAGUGUGGGGUGGGGCGCGAACGUGGGGUGGAGGAUAAAGCAGAGCUACCAGAACAGGACUUAAACCAGUGAACAGAACAGGAAGUAAACAGAGGCAAAUAUUUGCUGAAUCCCUGGCGGGAAAGAACUUUCUAAGAAUAAAAUCAAAGAUGAGCAUCCUCUACAUGAAAGCUAAAGGCUCAGGUGACUCAAAAAAAAAAACAUCAAGGUAAAAGGCAAGCAAUGAGUUGGGUAAAUUUUUGAAGCCAGUGUGACCAAAAACGAAUACCACUAACAUGGUGUGAGCUGAUCUGAAGGGAAGACGUCACAGAGGACGAGAGCGCACUGCAGAGGCGGCACAGGCGGCUGCGCUCCGGCCACUGAGGCGAUGAGGAAGGCCCCACCGAGCACUGCUGGGAACACCAGGCCACUUCAGCAGGCCGCACAGAGGUCCCGCUCAGCCAAGGCCGCAGAUCAGCAGGCCGGGCCUGGAGGUCGUGGGACAAGAUGUGCCCAGGGUGAUGCGAUGCUCAGCCUUCAGCCCAGGGGCACCUCCUUCCGCACUCUGUGCUGCUCAGGUACUCGAGGGGCAGAGCUAACCACUGAGGCUCAGGUGGCAGCCACAGUGUCACUUAUAACUGCGAAAAGACGGGGUCGGCUGCAACGGCCAACACUGGAAAAGCAUCUCCGUCAGUGCUGGGGGAGCCACAUCGGGGACCGCCGCCUGUACAAGUGUUGGCGAUGGGACUCAGCAGCACGACACAGUUGCCCAGGAUGCACAAGCUCAGAGUCACAUACGAACGUGGGAGAAAGAGUGUGUGCCCAGCACAAAACUGAAAAGGGAAGAGAAACUGCAUUAACCGUGAGGGUCUCCGUUACUUAAACUCAUGAGACUGACAGAAAGGGAUUCUUGGGGUUCCCCUGGCCAGAGUCAGGGAGGAGAUACUGUACGAUGAUCGCUUUCCCCGGCUUGGGUUCUCUGUGCCCCUGAGGGGCAGCACAGAGCGGGAAGGACGGGAGGCCAGGGGUGCAGGUGCCCAGGUAGAAGGUGAAUGAAUAGAUGGACAGACACAGGCACGGCGGGUGAGCGGGUGAGCGGGUCGGUGGCUCAGUGGACAGGUGGAUACAGGGAGGAUGCGCCCACCGUGAGUGGUGGGGUGGCUGGGGGGACAAACGGAGUUUUGGAUGGAUAGCUCAGCUGCUGGACAGGUAGAAGGACGGGUAGCGGAAAGGCUGGGGAAGGAUGGGUUAGGCCCUCUGGCGGGUAAGGCUUAGCCACUGACCCUUCCCUGGACUCACCCUGUGCCCCUCCUGUUCAGGGCCUUCAGGGGCACACCUUUCCCCAGCACUGCAGUGGCAGACCAGCGCCCCGACCGGCCGUCCUCGGACCGCUCAGCAUGCAGGAGGACUAGCCCCACGCGGCCGCUGUGCAGCUCGCCCGUGUCCCACAGCCAAUCUUCAAUCAGCCCCAAAGCCCCUGAAUUCCCCACAGCUCGGCCCACAGCACGGCCGGCUUUGGGUGCCACUGGCUACAUAUAUUGAACCUGAAGCAUCGGAUUGCAUAUUUGUUCAAUAGCAAUAAACUCCCCAAGUUUUAUGGGGUCAUAAAA